CCUACGGGGGGCAGCAGUGGGGGAUAUUGCACAAUGGGGGAAACCCUGAUGUAGCGACGCCGCGUGUGGGAAGACGGUCCUCUGGAUUGUAAACCACUGUCCCCAGGGACGAAGAUGACGGUACCUGGGGCGGAAGCUCCGGCUAACUACGUGCCAGCAGCCGCGGUAAUACGUAGGGAGCGAGCGUUGUCCGGAAUUACUGGGUGUAAAGGGAGCGUAGGCGGGACUGCAAGUUGGGUGUCAAAUCUACCGGCUCAACCGGUAGCCGCACUCAAAACUGCAGUUCUUGAGGGAAGUAGAGGCAGGCGGAAUUCCUAGUGUAGCGGUGAAAUGCGUAGAUAUUAGGAGGAACACCAGUGGCGAAGGCGGCCUGCUGGGCUUUUACUGACGCUGAGGCUCGAAAGUGUGGGGAGCAAACAGGAUUAGAUACCCCUGUAGUC
rnacentral:rRNA from 1 species